rnacentral:piRNA from 1 species
UAAGUCUGAGCCAUUUUUUACUUCUGUCU